rnacentral:rRNA from 1 species
UGCCAGCCGCCGCGGUAAUACGUAGGGAGCAAGCGUUGUCCGGAAUUAUUGGGCGUAAAGAGCUCGUAGGCUGUUCAGUAAGUCGGGUGUGAAAACUCAAGGCUCAACCUUGAGACGCCACUCGAUACUGCUGUGACUUGAGUCCGGUAGAGGAGUGUGGAAUUCCUGGUGUAGCGGUGAAAUGCGCAGAUAUCAGGAGGAACACCAGCGGCGAAGGCGGCACUCUGGGCCGGUACUGACGCUGAGGAGCGAAAGCAUGGGGAGCAAACAGGAUUAGAUA